rnacentral:lncRNA from 1 species
UAUCGUAGAAUAUAAAAUAAACCAUUCUACCAUUUACAACUAACUACAAUAGAGGAGGUCAAAUAAAAUAACCAAAGAACCCAAACUCACUUGCCCAGAGCGAACAGUCUUCACUCAACCAAUGAGAGCAUAACUAGUGAGCUCCAACAACCCAACGAGUUGGCUCACUUAACCCCUGUAACCAAAGCCGAAAACACCCUAUAAACUCACCCAACG